CAACGUUUCCUCAACUGUGUAUGGUGUUUAUUUUAAAUGCUUUUGUUACGAUUCUUAGUGGGCUUUCUAAACUUAUUUUGGCGGGGCUUUUUCUGUCUUAUUACUCAUAGCAACAAGUAAACAUCACGUAAAACGUUGCCUCGUGAGUUCUGCGUGCUGCUGUUUACGUGUUUUAUGAUGACAGCAAUUAACCGGCUAAGCUGUGUUUCAUUUUUAAGCAAUGGUUGAUCAGUUGUCAGAUCACACAUAAAAAGCACUUUGGAUUGCUAUUAUCUGUCUCACCGAGACUACUUACGUGUAAAUCUGUUAUUUGUCCGUCCGUCCAUCCAUUUUCAUCCGCGUAUCCGGAGUCGGGUUGCGGGGGCAAUAGCGUGGCUUCCCUCUCCCCAGCCGCCGGAGCCAGCUCCUCCGGGUAAAUCCCAGGGGUUCCCCGGUCAGGUCUGGUGUUGUGCCGGUAAGAAAUCCGCUCCGACAGCUUCUGGCGUCGGAGCGGGCAGUAGAGUCAAGAGUCUCAGACCUUCUCCCCAGCUCCUCCGGCCAGGUCCGGUGUAGUCCGCUCCGACAGCUUCUGGCGUUUUAAAAAGUAUCCCAGGGGCACGGUAAGGGUCGGAGAUGUUUAGUCUAUUUAAUUUCUGACUCUAUAAAACGAUUUCUUCUGUUUUAAAGUGUGAAGUAAACUCCGACGAAGUAAAAUCCAAGCGGAUCCCGUUCAUGUUCAUGGUUACAUCCGUGUUUGUUUACCUUUUUUGCAUGCCAAAAUGGCGUCCACUAACUGAGAGUCACGUGGGGUCCGGAGCUCUAUAGCAGUCUGAGCUCAUGAAUUCACCAUAAGUCACUCCCAGCUGGUGUAAGUCCUCGCUGAUUUCUUUGUUGAGGAACAGUGAAGGUUGGACUUUGUUCCUCGGCCCGUUUCCUCUGCUGCUGAUUAGAUAAAAACAUCAGAUUCAAGUUUCUUCAUGAGCUUCUGUUUUCUCCUGAAUUAUCUCUCAGGAUAUCAGCAGGCCUCGUUACAGCAGAGGAAAGUAAACAGACAGAGAACUUUCCUGGUGUGUUGGCGACCUUUCUGCUCUCCUCUUUUGAUGCUCCAGCAGCCGUCUCCUUAAUGGCAGACAGCAGCGAGCCAAAGAGGGGCUUAUUGUGAGUUCGGAGUUGGCGCGCUGCAGGAGCUAUCGAUUGGUGCUCAGCACACUGCGUAACAGGAGAAGCUGCCAGGGUUCCCUUUCCUCCCGUCACUUCAUCUCUCUUUUCCAAGCUCCCCAGAAGAAUCCUGCUCACUGAAACUCUCCGCUCGGAGAGGAAGCCUGGAGGUGAACGUCGAGCUCUUUGCAUAAAAUUACAACCAGCCUGACUCUCAUUACGCCCUCAUGAAUCUCACUUACCUCUGCACCAAGACCGUUGUCCUGAUGAACCUGUUGGGCUGCUCCUACCCAGGUCUCAUUACACGUCUAAAAAAUGUAUUUAUUUAUUUUACUGAGAACACUUUCUGCUUUUCAAAUGAAAUCAUUUUACAGUCAAAUACGACUUCUUGGGAUUCCUGUAGGGGAGUUUGUGCAGAGACACAAGGAUAUUCUGCAGCAGGGUGAGGAGUAACAGGAUUCCUUCAGCGAGAAGGCAUUGGACAGCGGGGGCAGAGUGCCUCUUCAGAGGAGGACAGUAGAUGCCGUUUAAACUCGUAAAGACAAAUAAAAACCCUGAUCACCUACUUCAGUUUGGAGCGAUAGAGUUUAAUCUGAACAGAUUGAGAAGGUAACGGCUAGUUGGAGAGGGAACAUUGUGGAUAGCUGCUGUCUCCAUGAGCCUACAGAACCCUGUCAUUAAACAGGACAUGUUAUGGCUCCCCCAGGCAGAUCCGGAAACAGCGCCUGAAAACUACAAUUGGCAUUGCAUUCUUUUAUGGAGUCACACGAAGAACCAUCAAAGCCUGAGGAGUCACGCCAAGGUUGCAUUCUUUCUGCUCCACAGGUGACAUUUACUGUAACGUUUUACUAACUAGCGACAGUCGGGAAGAUGUGGUGUAAAACUACCCUGAAAUGUAUGCAUGUACUGCCCUCUAGUGGCUGGAAACUACACACUGCAACUGAAAGCCGUUUAAUGUUAAAAGUUUCAGUGCCUUCCAGAAUGAGUCAUUUCAGGGCUCUGCCACUUUAAGAAAAGAAGCUGGAGCUGUCCACCCCCACUCAUCACCCACUCAGGCUGCUAUAGGCUGAGAAGCUCUGAUUUUGGAGAGGGACUCAGUGUAGAGCCCCUUCUCAGCUUCAGCUCUCUUUUGCAUGUGAGAGGUGGUUCUAAUCUGUUUCCCCCGUUUGUGAUGUCACAAACUGGGACUUGUAAAAACAUUUUUUCCCAGGAACAUACCUCCUAAAACCAAACACUGACAGAACAUAUUGGCUGUGUCUCAAUUCAGGGUCUGCAUCCUACGUCGGCCGGAUUCGUCGGCCGGUUACGUCACAGCGCCGCGACUCGGCCUGUCCCAAUUCGAAGACUCCUUCAAAUGCGGUCGACGAAUGCGGCCUUCUUUUCGCCUGAAUGAAGGAUGGGUCGGGUGUAUCCUUCAAUAGGUAGCAUUUCCCAAGAUGCCUUGCGGGCCGGCCGGCAGAAAAACUUAGAAACAAUGGCGGACAGUGAAGCGGGAGCUGUCGGAGAGGAUUGCGCAUAUAAAUGAACAAAAGAGAAAACCAGGGAAUUUAUUAAGCUUAGGGCGGAGAUGGACCACAUGAUCACCGGAGCAAAGUAUUCGGCGGCUGUGGCAUGGAGACUAUUCUGGAGAAAAUGGGCAUCCAGGGGAAGGUGCCAGCGAUGAGCUUCUGGAGCUGAUCAGGGAGGACAUGAGGCUGCAGAGGGAGGCAGAGCAGCAGAGGGCAGGAGAGAAGGAAGAACUUUGACAGCUUUUUACUUUGCUAGAAAAAAUGGUUAAUAAAGAUUAAACAUGUACAUAUAAAAGAAAUAUCUAAAUAAAAUCAGUUCUGCAUUAAACUCUUGGAUUUUAUUUUGGUUUACAAAUGAGAAUUGUUUACUAGAGGGUAUCCGCUGGGUCUUGAAAAGUCUUAAAAGGUGAUAAAUCGGUUUUGGUCAAGUUAAGACCCUUAGAAAGUAUUAAAAACUAUUAUUACAUCUUUGCUCAGGCUCAGCUUGUCGAAAGUAUUUUCUCUGAAUUAGCUCUCCAACAGUCAAGGAAAUGAUUAACCCCCAGAGACCCACGGUUGUAAUAUUACAACAUCAGAUUUAAGUCUACAAAAAUAAACCUUCCCCAUUUUUUUUCUUUUUAAAACCACAUUUACAUUGCUAAUAGGUCCUAUUCAGUUCUGCAACACUAUUGGCUGUUAAAAUGUGUAAAUAGGCCCGUUUAUCUGGCCUCCUAGAACAACAUGUGAAAGGUUAAAAAAAGAUUUUGCAGUUGUUUUCUAAAUUUGGGUCUCUGGGGGUUAAAAAGCUAAAUAAAACGUCGCGCUCCAUCGUUUAAAGUUCCUUCUCCCUUCUGCCCAGCGGUUCCACGGUUGCUAGGCGACGGAACGUUCGCGGAGGGAGUUCAUGAAGGCUAGGCCUGUCCAAAUUCACAGCCGUUAACAUCCGGUCUACCCGGCCGACGGAGGACCCAGCCCACGUCGGCCGGGUGGGCUGGGUCCUUCGAAGGAUGCAGACCCUGAAUUGAGACACAGCCAUUGUCAAAUUUCUAAUCACUUGAUGCAUUUGUGACAGCAGAUAUCCACACGAGUAGUAACUAGACCCCGGAUCAGAGGCUGACGACCACUUACUGACGACUCUGCCUCAAAAAUACCACAUAAGCAGAAUCUUGUGUCAUUUUAUGUUUUAACAGUUGAAGAACACGUGAAAACGCACUGGCACCGCUGCAGAAUACUUCUGGUUUUGUUAAAUGUUCCAGAUCAACAAACCAACGUCAAAGAUCUGACUAAAACACAAAAUUCCACAUCCUAGAGUUAGAUAGGUGGGAAAAGGCAUUUCGUAACCAGCCCGAUGAACCUGGCAGUAUCCUGUUUGCUUAGCUUAGCAUAAACAAUGUGAGUGAAUGGUAACAACUAGCAUUUCAACAGAGGUGGAAAGUAACAAAUUACAUUUACUCACGUUACUGUAAUUGAGUAGCUUUUUUGUAUAUUUAUACUUUUUUAGUCGUUUUUAAAAGCUGUACUUUUACUUUUACUUGAGUAAGUUUUUAAAAAAGAAUUGUAAUUCACUACAUUUUAAAUCAUAUCCGUUACUGAGUAAAAACAAAUUAUAGGCUUAAUAAAUUACAAAUAUUACGUGUAGCAGCGUCGGAACAGAAAGAGACACCUGCAUGAGCGCCGCGUCUAAACCGUGGGGGGGGGGGGUGUGGGGGUGUACACUUUAGCUCAAAGACAUCGGUUCAGUUCCUCAACUCGCUGUUCACCUCCUCUCUCCCUCCUCUCCUGUGGGUUGGAACCCGCACCUUUGCGCACCGGUGUGACGUCAUCAGAAUUCUGCUCGGUUCGGUAGCCGGACUCGGUUCCGUGUUUGAAAUGUGUUUCUCUACCGCUCCGCACGGCAGCGGCUAAAUAACGUUUAGCGCUCCUAACAAGCGGAUUAUCAGUGCUUUGAUCAUAAAACAGGAUACCUGCAGGCCUCUGUGAGUUAAAACAUCCUGAUACUGUUCAGGUGUAAACAUUGUGCUCCAUCCCUGUGUUUGAACUCAGAAGAUGCUCCUUGAUGCCACAGAUAUGUGAUGAUUUAGCUUGUUUCUUUAUUUUACUCCAGAAUAAGAGAUUCAAUUAUUACUAAAGCAGUUCAAUGUAGUUCAAUUAGUCAUUCACAUGAUUCUAACAUGCUGCAGUGUGUGUGUGUGUGUGUGUGUGUGUGUGUGUGUGUGUGUGUGUGUGUGUGUGUGUGUGUGUGUGUGUGUGUGUGUGUGUGUGUGUGUGUGUGUGUGUGUUACACAUAUAGGACUGCAGGAGACAGCGUGGUUUCAUCAAAUCCAUGCAUCUUAUAUCUUGGCUGCAGUAACGGCUCAGGAAAAUAACUUAUAUUUCAUAAAUAAUGACGUCUCUGCAGUGUUUAUGAUAAUGUUUUAUCUUAUCUUUGGUCUGGGAGGGGUAACUUAUCAUGAUACAAGCCUUUUAAAACAUGUUAAAGUGUUACAAGAGGAGAUGAAUGCAUGAAUUUAAAGUUCAUGUUUGGAGACCAACCUUCCCAGUGUGGAGGCUCACGCUGGUGAGGAGACACCGUUAGUUCUAGUAACACCUGGGCUCCCAAGGCCUGUUCUGACAGGAUGGACGUUACGGGACCCUUAAGGAUUCCAGUUGGAUGAUUGGAGGAUUAUUUAGGAGGAUUGGAAUGAACAAACUGAUUUCAGUGGUGAAGGGUUAAAUGAGUGAGUGAACCCACUACCAAGGAUUAACUCUGCUAACUUUAAACAUCAGCUGCUCUAAAUAAGCAUGAAGGUCAGAGAGGAGCUCUAGGAUGGACAUGGAUAAAGGAACUGUAAUGUAGAGGUAAAGUAGGGCAGGGCCAACGUUAGCAGCUGUCAUACGCUCCAUCUGAGAUGUUUGACUGCAUUUAGCUUGUUAUGUGACAGGUUAGAGCAGUCUCAUGUUAGAGUGUUGUCAUGAGAACAUUGAGAUACCUCACACACUGAUGGCUUCUAAAAAAUUAUUUUUUCUCAAAAUAAAGAAUAAUUUUAACCACAAUUGAAACUUACCAUCCUAGAAAAACCUCGUCCAAUCAAUGUGCACGUCCUGUUCUCACUGACUGGAUAGAAAUCCCUCCUUCAAGCUGAGCGUGUGUGUAUGUGUGUGUGUGUGUGUGUGUGCGCGAGCACACACGAGCGAAUUGUGAACUGGCGUUGUGAUUCAGCACUACGUAGAUGUAGCCAUCCUUACGCUGACAAAAAUGUAACUAAGUAACUUUUACUUUGAGUACAUUUUGUUUACGAUACUUUUUACUUUUACUUAAGUGAAAAUUUAGGCAAGUACUUUUACUUGUAAUUGAGUAAAAAAUUAUCAAAGUAUUGGUACUCGUACUUAAGUAGGAAAUUUUAGUACUCUUUCCACCUCUGCAUUUCAAUCAUUCAAAUUCAAACAGGCACUUAUUUUGUAAACACAAAUGUGCCACUGGGCUCAUACCAGGUACACUUUCCUGAAGGAACAGCAUAGAAAAUUGCUCUACAUGACAGAUGGAGUAGGUGUCUUGGGGCUGCAGCGUCGUGUUCUCGCACCUUGCAGCGGUGCUUUGUUGUAACGUAGUCCCGAGCUUAAAUGAACUACCGGAAUUCCUUCAUGUUACUUCUUGUCAUUUGCAGACAAUGUGAUUAAUGAGGUCAGUAGGAUCAUUGUUGAGUCCUUUUCAUGACUUUUUCAUACAAAAUGUUAGCAGUUACCAUUCAUUUGCAUUGUUUAUGUGUAGCUAAAGCUAACAGAAUGCUGCCAUAUUAGGAGAAUGACUGUGCUGGUUACAAAAUGCUCUUUCCCACUCAUCUCCUUCUGGGGACUAUGGCCACAGACUAAAUUUUACUUAGAGGAGGAGUGUCCCUUUAACAAAUGGUUACGAGGUAGGCUAAAACCCUAAAAAACAACACUUUACACCUUGUUCUAAAGAAGUUUAAGAUAAAAAGAACCUCUAACUCUCUGAAGGCCUCAGUUGGUUCAGGUUAGGGUCAAAGGUCACGAUUCAAUAAUAAGAGAAAAUCAGGGAAGGCGCAGGGAUUGUUCUUAAAUAUGAAAGAAAUAAUAAUGUUAAUAAUGGAAAUUUGUAAAAGGCGGGCAGAUGGAUCUUCUCAGUAGUGACGUUUAGAUGUGGUUCUGCUGCACAGCGGAGUUACCCAGAAGAACCGUCCCCAGGGAUGGAGACUGCUUCUAAUUGUUACAACUGAUCACCAGAGCAAAUAAACGAGACAAAAGCUGCAAAUUAAAAUUGAUGUUUGCGAAUGAAAACAUCUGUGCAUGAAUCAUAGUUAACCAUGACUUAUGAAAUAGCAAUGCUUCCGGCUCUUGGAGAGUACAGACGCUUUUUCCCUCCUCUCCUCCCUGUCUUAUCCCAAGGCUCUUUGUCUGUCUGUGGGUGCACGGCGCUUCUGCAUUUUUUCUGAAAACUGGAAGUUAUUAAAAAUGGAUCUGGUCAGUUGGUCUCUCAAUGCGAUUGACAAAAUUUUCUCAACGAUGAGAACGGGAGGAGGGGCUCCCGGUUGCCCCUCUGAGACAGAGCCAGUUGGGCACAUCAUGGACUCCUGGAAACAUUGGAGCCUGAUCUGCCUCUCUCAACUGUCUGUAGAGGAUUCUGAAGACGUCUGGAUAUUCGUGGUGUUGGUGUCAGGAUUCCUGCUCUUUGGCGUUGGAGUUUACCUGACUUACCGGAAAAUUAACGAGCUGUCGAGGAAUAUUGGCUCACUCCGGAGCUCAGGGAUGGAUUACACCACGCUGUGAACACACAAACUCAUAUGAUUGUCGAGAUGAGUCGUAAGCUUGGAACUUUGGCUGAGAUUCAUGCAUUGACACAAAAGAUGGAUGCGAUCAAGGAGCAAGUGGACGAAUCAGCACGCAUUGGAAUAGAUUAAUUUACGCCAUUAUUGGGAUUUUGAGAGGUUGAGGAUCAACAGAACUUUAAGACAGAGAGGAAAUUAUCUCUGUCUGGCCCCAAAACAAUUUCUAAUCUGAAUCUGGUGCCCUUGAGCUCGUGAGGCUGCAACAAAUACUCCCCCCUCAGAAAAAAUGUGGAAUGCUGCCGUCGCCAUGGCAACGCUGUCUCCCUAUCCCGGCCUGGGCGGGACUGCGAGCUGAAGGCCGCUGAAUCGUUCCAGGAGUCACUGUGCUCUGUAAACCAAACGGCCUUCCACCCCUUUCCAGGCUGAGGUGACGAGCGCUGCUUAUCGCGGCUGCAUGCACUGAUGUGUGGAGAGUCCCCAACCCUACCACCCCACCUAGUGGGCACUUAUGUUGUGUGAUAUCUGAAGUCUGUUGGAUUUCUGUCCGAGGUGUUUUUUGCAUAGCAAAGCUGCCCUCCCGGUGGAGGGUAACUCUGAAGUGCCUUUUUUCCCUCCACCUGACCCAAUCCUCAUGUAAACCCUCUGAUCUCUAUUAAGGUAGCGCGACUCAGGGUUGCGAAUGUCCACAGUCACCAAUUCUUGU